rnacentral:rRNA from 1 species
AACGAACGCUGGCGGCAUGCCUAACACAUGCAAGUCGAACGAGACCUUCGGGUCUAGUGGCGCACGGGUGCGUAACGCGUGGGAACCUGCCCUUAGGUUCGGAAUAACUCCCCGAAAGGGGUGCUAAUACCGGAUAAUGUCUUCGGACCAAAGAUUUAUCGUCUUUGGAUGGGCCCGCGUUGGAUUAGCUAGUUGGUAGGGUAAAAGCCUACCAAGGCGACGAUCCAUAGCUGGUCUGAGAGGAUGAUCAGCCACACUGGGACUGAGACACAGCCCAGACUCCUACGGGAGGCAGCAGUGGGGAAUAUUGGACAAUGGGCGAAAGCCUGAUCCAGCAAUGCCGCGUGAGUGAUGAAGGCCUUAGGGUUGUAAAGCUCUUUUACCCGGGAUGAUAAUGACAGUACCGGGAGAAUAAGCACCGGCUAACUCCGUG